GUAAUCAGCCUCCAAAUA
rnacentral:snRNA from 1 species